rnacentral:rRNA from 1 species
GCAAGUCGAACGGCAGCACGGGCUUCGGCCUGGUGGCGAGUGGCGAACGGGUGAGUAAUACAUCGGAACGUGCCCUGUAGUGGGGGAUAACUAGUCGAAAGAUUAGCUAAUACCGCAUACGACCUGAGGGUGAAAGCGGGGGACCGCAAGGCCUCGCGCUACAGGAGCGGCCGAUGUCUGAUUAGCUAGUUGGUGGGGUAAAAGCCUACCAAGGCGACGAUCAGUAGCUGGUCUGAGAGGACGAUCAGCCACACUGGGACUGAGACACGGCCCAGACUCCUACGGGAGGCAGCAGUGGGGAAUUUUGGACAAUGGGGGCAACCCUGAUCCAGCAAUGCCGCGUGUGUGAAGAAGGCCUUCGGGUUGUAAAGCACUUUUGUCCGGAAAGAAAUGGCUCUGGUUAAUACCCGGGGUCGAUGACGGUACCGGAAGAAUAAGCACCGGCUAACUACGUGCCAGCAGCCGCGGUAAUACGUAGGGUGCGAGCGUUAAUCGGAAUUACUGGGCGUAAAGCGUGCGCAGGCGGUUUUGUAAGACAGGCGUGAAAUCCCCGAGCUCAACUUGGGAAUGGCGCUUGUGACUGCAAGGCUAGAGUAUGUCAGAGGGGGGUAGAAUUCCACGUGUAGCAGUGAAAUGCGUAGAGAUGUGGAGGAAUACCGAUGGCGAAGGCAGCCCCCUGGGACGUCACUGACGCUCAUGCACGAAAGCGUGGGGAGCAAACAGGAUUAGAUACCCUGGUAGUCCACGCCCUAAACGAUGUCAACUAGUUGUUGGGGAUUCAUUUCUUCAGUAACGUAGCUAACGCGUGAAGUUGACCGCCUGGGGAGUACGGUCGCAAGAUUAAAACUCAAAGGAAUUGACGGGGACCCGCACAAGCGGUGGAUGAUGUGGAUUAAUUCG